UCGCGAGUGGGCCGAGAUCUCCACGCGGAAGGACGCGGGCCAGUCUCGCGCCUGUGAACCCUAAACCUGGGAGUAAUUUCCCGCCUGGCCGAUUUCACCGAGAGCUCGCUUUCGGCGUCAAAUAAACAGGCAACCCCCUUUGAACCGCCCGGUCGCCCGAAAGGGCUCGACCGGGGCGGGUGGUUUUCCGAAGGCGGCUUUCCACCCGCUGACCAAAAAAGAAAAAGCCGACCACCUGGAUGAGGCCCGCGCGCGCAAAUCGAGACCGAAUCCCGCGAACCGACAACUCCGUUGACAACGCCGAUCGCCGUGGGGUCGACGCGACCCAGCCAGCGCCCGGAACCCGGGCCCACUGGCUUCCCAGCGGGAACUCGAGGCGCCUCGUCGAGAGACGGGGCGUCCCCCGCGCCGUCGCGUCGCGUGCCGGGCAUCGGUCGUGCAGUGGGGGAGGUUUUUUUU
rnacentral:telomerase_RNA from 1 species